rnacentral:rRNA from 1 species
GGAAGGCCCUGCUUGCAGGGUACUCGAGUGGCGAACGGGUGAGUAACACGUGGGUGAUCUGCCCUGCACUUCGGGAUAAGCCUGGGAAACUGGGUCUAAUACCGGAUAGGACCAUCGUUUAGUGUCGGUGGUGGAAAGUUUUUCGGUGCAGGAUGAGCCCGCGGCCUAUCAGCUUGUUGGUGGGGUAAUGGCCUACCAAGGCGUCGACGGGUAGCCGGCCUGAGAGGGUGGACGGCCACAUUGGGACUGAGACACGGCCCAGACUCCUACGGGAGGCAGCAGUGGGGAAUAUUGCACAAUGGGCGCAAGCCUGAUGCAGCGACGCCGCGUGGGGGAUGAAGGCCUUCGGGUUGUAAACUCCUUUCAGCAGGGACGAAGCUUUUGUGACGGUACCUGCAGAAGAAGCACCGGCUAACUACGUGCCAGCAGCCGCGGUAAUACGUAGGGUGCGAGCGUUGUCCGGAAUUACUGGGCGUAAAGAGCUCGUAGGUGGUUUGUCGCGUCGUCUGUGAAAUUCCGGGGCUUAACUCCGGGCGUGCAGGCGAUACGGGCAUAACUUGAGUGCUGUAGGGGAGACUGGAAUUCCUGGUGUAGCGGUGAAAUGCGCAGAUAUCAGGAGGAACACCGAUGGCGAAGGCAGGUCUCUGGGCAGUUACUGACGCUGAGGAGCGAAAGCAUGGGUAGCGAACAGGAUUAGAUACCCUGGUAGUCCAUGCCGUAAACGGUGGGCGCUAGGUGUGGGGGUCUUCCACGACUUCUGUGCCG